GCAAAUGGGAUGCCGUGGUAGGGGGGAGAAGGGGGGGUGCAGGAGUUGAUCGGAGUUACUGGGCGUAAAGGGCGCGGAGGCGGUGUUAUGGGUGUGAGGUGAAAGCCCCGGGCUUAACCUGGGAAGGGCAUCGCAAACGAUAUGACUAGAGUAUAUGAGAGGGUGGCGGAAUUUCCGGUGUAGCGGUGAAAUGCGUAGAGAUCGGAAGGAACGUCAAUGGCGAAGGCAGCCACCUGGCAUCAUACUGACGCUGAGGCGCGAAAGCGUGGGGAGCGAACAGGAUUAGAUACCCUAGUAGUC
rnacentral:rRNA from 1 species